rnacentral:misc_RNA from 1 species
GUGCCCAAGUUAUAUGCUCAAAUGAUAAGUAGCCCUUAUUGCCGAAGUUGAACUUCGUAUUGCCCUCCUUGACAAUAAGAACAUUCUCUAUUCUUAUACCAAAGUUCCCGUCUUCAUAAUAACCAGGUUCAUCUGUUACAGCCAUUGAAACUUGUAGCGGCACAUCCCGUGCAGAUGGCCUGAAACUAAUAUUAUGAGGUCCUUCAUGUACAUUUAAGUAAGACCCGAUCCCGUGUCCAGUACCAUGCCUAUAGUCAAGACCAUCUUUCCACAAAGGAAUUCGAGCAAGAAUGUCAAGAGCUUGCCCAUUGGUUCCGUUAGGAAACCUGGCGUUUCCCAAAGAUAUAUGUCCUUUAAGAACCGCCGUGUAACUAGAUUUCUCAUGUGGAGAAGGUUUUCCGAAAUGAAUAGUCCGUGU